rnacentral:lncRNA from 1 species
CAUAAAGGGGCCUGGGGUCCUAUAACGGGGCCAUAAAGGGGCCUGGGGUCCUGUAAUGGGGCCUUAAAGGGGCCUGGGAUCCUAUAAUGGGGCCUUAAAGGAGCCUGGAGUCCUACAACAGGGGGAUAACGGGGCCUUAGAGGGGCCUGGGGCCCUAUAACGGGACCUUAAAGGGGCCUGGGGUCCUGUAAUGGGGCCUUAAAGGGGCCUGGGGUCCUUUACUGGGGGAUAACUGGGCCUUAAAGGGGCCUGGGGUCCUUUAAUUGGAGAUAACGGG